CCACUCUAGGUAGAAGAAAAGGCUGCUUAUAAAACUAUAUCUAAACCCAUGAAGCCUACAAUAUGGCACAAGUUCCCCACCUAGGGGUCAUGGCCCUCACAAGAGUUCACAGGAUAAAUUUAAAUGGUCUGGAGAUGAUCAACAAAAUGGAAAGCAGGAGAAACAUGUUUUUUAAGCCUUUCUUCUUGUGAGUUACUGGAUAGUUUCACUUUUCAGGCCUUGAAUAUUCAAAUAAGGAAAGUCAGGGAGACGGAGGGGAAGACAUGCAGCAAAGGGCUGGACUCAGGGCCGGACCUCUGUGGUUAGGAUUAAGCCUUUAUGGUACAUGCCAGCCAGGAAUACUUCUGCAGAGAGACAAUCAGGAUGGUUCUGAAUGUGCAGGGUUUUACUCUGACUUUCAAAAAGAUUGGUUUGGACAUUGGGAUCGCAUAUUUGACAAUGUCGCCCACUUUUAUGGUUGUAACAGCAGCAGUACUUGUGGGAACUGCAGGAUAUCUUUACGCAAGGAAUAGAAAUAAUCACCACAAAAACGAGUAGAAGAACUGGCAUGGACUUGUCUUCUUCUUCAACUUAAUGAUAUUCAUGUCUAAAGAAAAAGCCAAGAUGGUGAUUGGAAUGAUCGCACUGAACGUCACUAAUUUGAUCAAAAUGGAAACUAAGAUGGCAUGUGGAUUCAAUGCUUUGGUGAUACUUGCCCUUGUCUAUAUGUCUUUUAAGGAGAACCAGGGAUCAGUUAAGAAGAAGAAAAACAAGUUCAAAAAAACAAGUUCAGAAAAUAUAAAGCCCAAGAAAAUGCUAUAGAGAAUUACAAUACAUACACUGUAAAUACACUGUAUGCUGACAAGAUGCCAUGUUCAGAAAUGCCUGUAGAAAACUUUGAAAACAUUGAAUGGAUUCUCAGGAUGUCAAAAAAUAAAAUGAAUGCAUCCCUUUG